rnacentral:rRNA from 1 species
AUUGAACGCUGGCGGCAGGCCUAACACAUGCAAGUCGAACGAGUGGCGGACGGGUGAGUAAUGUCUGGGAAACUGCCUGAUGGAGGGGGAUAAAUACUGGAAACGGUAGCUAAUACCGCAUACCAUCAGAUGUGCCCAGAUGGGAUUAGCUAGUUGGUGGGGUAACGGCUCACCAAGGCGACGAUCCCUAGCGGGUCUGAGGGGAUGACCAGCGACACUGGAACUGAGACACGGUCCAGACUCCUACGGGAGGAAGCAGUGGGGAAGAUGGGACAAUGGGCGAAAGCCGGAUGCAGCCAUGCCGCGUGUAUGAAGAAGGCCUUCGGGUUGUAAAGUACUUUCAGCGGGGAGGCGUUACCCGCAGAAGAAGCACCGGCUAACUCCGUGCCAGCAGCCGCGGUAAUUC